AUACAUUAGAUGUAGUAUAGAAACAUGUUGAUAUGAUCAACAUGUAGUUCAUGCUAUAUUUAUAUAUUUUAAUUUCUGAUUUAAUGCUAUGUAAUAAUCAUGUAAUAGGAUCUUAGAUCUAGAGAUUUUCUAAUUUUAAAAAAUAAUUUUGAUUUAUUUUAGUCUUCCGCUGUAUGAUCUUGAAAAAGUUUCAAGAUCUAACCCUGAAACCCUAGAUCUGGUUCCUACACACUGCACAACAGCAUGGCCUGUUGGAAUUUUGUGUAGGGGUAUUUCAAUUUUUUUUUAAAUAAUAUAACAGAAUAGAAGAUUAAAAUAUCUUUUAAUCUAAAUCAUGUAUGUAUAAAAUAUAAAACAUAAAAAUUUACUUCAUAUGUUGAAAUUGAACACAUGCUGAAUUUUAUGCUAAAAUUAAAUAUGUGAUCGAAUCAUAUAC
rnacentral:lncRNA from 1 species